rnacentral:ncRNA from 1 species
GGGUCUAGAGGGAAUACGCUCUAGAGGUUAAAUAAGGUAAGAUGGUCGGGCCGCCAUCU